rnacentral:misc_RNA from 1 species
AAGAGCCGUGUGCGGGUGAAUCGCAUGCACGGUUCGGAGAGUUUGAGUUGUCAAUAUUCAAGC